rnacentral:misc_RNA from 1 species
ACAAAAGGGAAUAAAGGCGUGGCGGGCGCAAGCUCGUUUCACGUUCUUGCACCCGAAAAUCCUGUAUUCACCCCAAGUUUCUUUAAAAUUUCCAAUAAAAAAACUCUUGCAAAAAGACCACCUAAAUGAGUGGCGUCUAAUUGCACAAAGCGA